UACGGGGGGAGCAAGCGUUGUUCGGAUUUACUGGGCGUAAAGGGCGCGUAGGCGGUCGUGACAAGUCACUUGUGAAAUCUCCGGGCUUAACUCGGAAAGGUCAAGUGAUACUGUCGGACUAGAGUACAGAAGGGGCAACUGGAAUUCUCGGUGUAGCGGUGAAAUGCGUAGAUAUCGGGAGGAACAUCAGUGGCGAAGGCGGCCCUCUGGACCAGCACUGACGCUGAGGCACGAAAGCGUGGGGAGCAAACAGG
rnacentral:rRNA from 1 species